ensembl:lncRNA
GGGGCGGAAGCCCUGCAGCUGGAGACUGGCUUCCGCCUGCCGGUGGGCAGGAGGGGCGGCAGGUGGCGGUGGUGCUGGUGGGGAAGGGUGACCGAUGUGACCUCUCCUGGAAGGUUUUCAGGAUGCACGUGUUGACUUUUGACUUCCAAGUCCCAAAGCUCGCUUCAGUAGUUCCAGGCGGUUAUGACGGUGGCUCGCUGGCCUGAAUGAUCUUAAUCACGAAAGCACUUGUGUACAGCUUUAUAAUUCGACGUCUGUGUGCACUACACAGCGCUCCCCGCCACCGCCUGCUUCCCACCCUCACCGCGCCGCCCACGCGCGGUGGUCAGCUGGCCGGCCGGCGCCGCUGGCUGGUGGCCUCCCCGAGACACGCAGGCACCGAGACUUCCGUGGGGACCGAGGCGUCCGGGUCCUGCCCCUCACUCCUCCCCCUGCUCGUGGCCCCGACGGACCAGGACCAAAUGCGUGCCGCUUGGUGGCCGCGGAGCUCCAUGAUGGCUGAGGUGCACCAGCCGAUGCUGUCUGUGAGGCUGUCCUGCGACCGCGAUGGCUCCUCCACGGUAGCAAGCUCACUCUGAAGUCUCGAAGCUGUGUGGCGGCGGCCAUGGGGCCGUGGGGGAGGUGCCGGGGACAGGAGCCAGCACUGUGUGAACGCAGGCCUCAGCAGCAAAGGACCUCCUGACUCUUGAGAGAAAAGGGAGAAGUUGCAAUGUCUGAAAAAUGUUUGGUAACGUUGGCAAACCUUUCUAAGAUUGUUUGAAGUUACGGUGGCACUUGAUGAUCACAUUUUAAACACAGUAGAUCUCGACUUAAAAUGAGCCCAGGUAAGAACAACACUUUAGAGCAGCAGACUCAGGACGUGAGUAAAAUGCUGCCUUCUGGGGCAUCACCUGGUUGUUUCAGCCAGGAGUCGAGGAGAACUUCAUGAAGGUAGGAAUAAAGGAGGUUCAUCUGCAGUAGGGCGUCAACAGAGCGGCUGCAGACUCAGCUCCCCACGCGCUCUGCCAGCAGGGGCCACGUUUCCCCACGCGCUGUGCCAGCGCAGGCCAUGACGCCUGCUGCUCACCGGGGCUGCUCGCACCACCGGAGCUCUGGCAUCUCGCUGUGGUCAGGCUCGGCGGCAGCAGCAUGCCCACCUUCCUGAGGCAAUCCUGUUCAACUUGACUGAGAGUCUUUCCUGGAAGGAAACUUUGCUCCUAGCUCCUCAAAUAUAAUGCAGUAGAUUUUCGGAAGUUAGGCUCUAUAACAUCACUAUGUACUCUGAUUUAGCGACUCCUGUGCCACUGCCCCUGAGAGAAGUAGAAGGGUGGGUUCAGUGAGACUCUGGUCACGGCAUUUUCAUGAGCAGAUCCACACACAACCUUGUUUCAUGCGUGUUUCUGUUUAGACACCUUCUUUAAUGCAUAGUGUGGAUUCAGCACCUUUGAGCUCACAGCCUGAACGACACUCGUCUAGCACGUCUUCUUUUUCCUUGAGGUACAUCCCAGCCCCAUACGUACUUCAACACUCUGCUUGGGGUCAUUUUAAACAGUGACAUCACCAACAAAAAGCACAAAAAUGCAAAAACAAGGACACUAGGUAGACUGUGAAAUGGACACGUUUACAGCGUGAGAGCUGAACCAAGCAGGUGGAGCAUCAUCUUUCUCAACCUCACCUGAGACCACGUGCACCAGCAGGCUCUGCGUUGUUACAGUUCUGCACAUGUCCACGAAUGAGCCCGAAAACUCUGAGGGCACUGAUUUUGGGGUUACAAAUGAAUUUUAUCGAGUAAGAGAAUUUGCAAAUAUGCAAUCCGUCAAUUAUGAGGAUUGACUAUAUAUUGAUGAAACCAACGUGCAUUUUUAAGCUCUCCUGAUUCUGGGUAAUGAUUAUUAUUUGGUAACUUAAUUUUUGGUCUUAUCUAAUGUCAAAG